rnacentral:tRNA from 1 species
GGAGGGGUGGCCGAGUGGUUUAAGGCAAUAGUCUUGAAAACUAUCGAGGGUUCACGCCCUCCGUGGGUUCGAAUCCCACCCCCUCCG